UGUACAAAGUUAUUUUUUUUAAAAGAAUCAUAAUUUUGAAAGUGUGGUACGAAUAAUCCAUACCUCCAUCAGCUCAAAAGAUGACUACUUAACUAUCAACUGCAGCUAUACAAGACCUGAUCUGGUGAAUUAUGGAAGUAAAUACACGAAAGUACAACCCAGAGCCUUCCUCAUAUGUAGAAGAGGAGAGGGAUAUAUACCCAAGGAUAUAAAUGUAAGCAACCAGCAGCUUACUUUAGGGGAGGAAAGAGAUUCAGACCUCAGAGAGAUUCAUACCAACAGAGAUAAAAGCCGAUGAACACUAUGUAUCAAAAUAUCAAAGCAUGCAUUCUCGCUUCAGGAGUAGGAAUGUGAUGUGUUAGGAAGUUCAUCCUUCAACUCCUAUUUGAUUCUGGUACAAAGCAACUACAAGAGAGGAGGAGGGAAGAAAUGAGCCAGAGGAUAACCAUCUGAUGAACAUGGCAGAGUGACCAUGGACUGAGGUGGAAAUAGUGCCCACAUAGCUGUAAUCCUAUUCUUCUGAUUCAGGAAACUUCUGCUGAGGGAUUCAUUGAUUCCGGCGAAAGAUCUCACAUGGACACCUGUUUCUCUGUUCGACCACUAUGGAAAUGAGACUUCUUAGGUCAUGACAUUCAGCAUGAUGAAUUGCAGAUUACCAGUUGUCACCAACACAAAGUAAUCCUAAUUGUUCUAUAAGGAAGAAAGGCCAUUGGAUACUCACAUAUUUGUCACCAGCCUGUGCUAUAUCCUAAUGUUGUUUCUCAAAGUUAGGAUCUGCUUGUAGAAUCUAAAGCUGAACACCCUACUUGUUAUAGCUGACUGAUGUUGUUAUUAUUGUGUAAUGCAUACACAUUAAUCCAAUGACCGCACUGUGGAUAACAGAGGAAACGUUAGGAUGCUGGCCUCUUCCUCACAUGACUCAUCACUCCAUUACUCUUGGCCAUCUGUCUGAAAGCGGACAGAGGUUUUAGCAGCUGCGUAGCUACCAUCUCUGCCUAAAUAUGUUCUUUCCAUAUAGGCUAGUUAGAGCUUGCGACUGUACUAUUCGAUGGAACUCAUCAAACAAAAGAAAAAGUUGAAGAGAAGAGAUUUAUUUUAACUGAACUAGCUAGCUAGUUUAGGAAAAUAAAAUUUCUUGUUCAGCUCAAAGAAAACAUUAAAGACUGUAUAAGUGUAUGACCUAAGGAAUUAGUGAAUGCACUCUUUUUAGAUGAAUGUAUAUAUAUUCUUCAAGAUAUUUUUUAAAUAAACUUUUGUCCAGAUUUAAUGAAUAGAAGGUCUCCUGCUUUUCCUUAUAAUGAUAUCUUCAAGAUCUCUCAGAAGUUAACUCGUAGGAGGGCAGGAAGUGAGAUUAGACAAAUACAUAUGCAAUGGAUUCUAGUUUCAGGAGCUGGUUCUGAGGAAUCUGGGACUUGAACCCAUAACUUUAAACACUGCAAUCAUCAUACAGUGAGUGAACAUAGUACAGUAGUGAUCAUACAGGGAGAAUUGCAAGGUGAAGAUAGAAGUAGGAAUCAGAGGCAUUUGGAAAUGCAACGAAGGAUAAGAUGGCUCAGAGCCACGUUGAUCCUGUGAUAGCUGAGGAAGAAGCUCUGGAUGCAAAUCAGAGUCGUUUCCUGAUUGCAAACUGGCCUGAUGAAACUGCUUUCUCAUCUGCUGAGCUACUCACUGAUUCUAAUGAAUGGGAUCUGAUUGUGUCAUUUGGGGCAUUCAUCAGUGUGAUGCAUCACAGAUUACCAGGUUUCAGGGUGAAUGCCGAAAUACUGAAGUCCAAACAUGUGGUUUUUGCAUGAUGCAGUUUCCCUGAACUGAAAUGUGUCUCACUAAACCACCAGAUGGACCGAGGAGGAAGAGAAGGAUAUGCAUUCUCCUGCAUAUGAGCGGUGCGGACCAGCAUGGAGGGAGGAGGCCGUAAAUCUCAUGCAUCGUCGGAUAAACUAAUAUGAAACUUGAUUUGACUUGGUUUGCUAACCCAGUUCAAAAUCUAGCCUGCAUAUAUGUAAUUAAAUCCUACGCCAAAGACUGAAAACUAUCUCAAUCGCACACACAUACUCCGUAUUUCACAUUCCCACUAAUUUUCAAGUUCUGGGAUUAUAUAAUGAUUCCAUCGUUGAGCUAUCUGCUGUACGAAUUGGAGAUCAGUGCUCUGAAUCCAUGUCUGAACUCUGAAGUUUGAACAGAGCCAGUAGAUUAGUUUCAUGACUUCAUCCAUCUAUGGUAGGGUGAAGAUACUGUGAUUGAAAGGCAUGAGAGGGAAAAAAAAUCAAGGAGAUGGGUCUGCCAUGGACGAACCCGGGGGAAAAAAAAUCAAGGAUGGUUCCAAAUCUUUGGCGAAGGAGAAAUACUGUGCAUCAACGAAGGGUGGGCAUGGUGAGGCGCCGGUACCGCCAGGUACUCGAUUCAUGACAGCCGUCCGAUCAUCCUAGAUCAACGGCCUAAAUUUAGUACCGGCGUGCACUGCUGGAUGGUAAAAACUCUCCUCCAACAUUUUGUAGAUACCAAAUAAAUUGAGGGGAGAUAGGAGAGGAAGAAGAUGAAGAGAGGAUAUAGAGAUGCAUAUCAAGUUAUCAACACACGUUCUUGUGGACAACCUCAUCUGAAGUUUCAUUGGCUUCAAUAGUUCAAUUAUUUCCUUGCAAAUUGCGGGACCAGGACUGGGAUGCAUUAGGAAUGCAUCAAUUGGGAAUGUGAUGGGCUGAUAGCCAAGCCCCACUCCACUUCAUGUUGUGUUACAACACUGUGUUGCUUUGUGGGUGCCUGGGUGGGCGUAGCUUUUGUUUUCUCAAUUGAAGUAGUUACGUUGUUCUGUGAUGUGCAUGUGAUGGCAUCACAGAUCAAGCCUAUCCUGUAUUUUGUUUUGUGUUUCUACUUUGUAAAAAAAAGUUAGAAAACAUUGUUUUUUUA